AUAUCAAUAAGCGGAGGAAAAGAAACCAACAGGGAUUGCCUCAGUAACGGCGAGUGAAGCGGCAACAGCUCAAAUUUGAAAUCUGGCCUUCGGGUCCGAAUUGUAAUUUGUAGAGGAAGCUUUUGGUGAGGUACCUUCCGAGUUCCUUGGAACAGGACGCCUUAGAGGGUGAGAGCCCCGUACGGUUGGAUGCCAAUCCUUUGUAUAGCUCCUUCGACGAGUCGAGUAGUUUGGGAAUGCUGCUCUAAAUGGGAGGUAAAUUUCUUCUAAAGCUAAAUACCGGCCAGAGACCGAUAGCGCACAAGUAGAGUGAUCGAAAGAUGAAAAGCACUUUGAAAAGAGGGUUAAAUAGUACGUGAAAUUGUUGAAAGGGAAGGGUUUAUGACCAGACCUUUGCCUUGCGGAUCAUCCGGUGUUCUCACCGGUGCACUUCGCUUGGUUUAGGCCAGCAUCGAUUCUGGAAGAGGGAUAAAGGCUUUGGGAAUGUGACUCUUCGGAGUGUUAUAGCCCAUUGCGUAAUACCUUUACUGGGAUCGAGGACCGCGCUUUGCAAGGAUGCUGGCAUAAUGGUCAUCAACCACCCGUCUUGAAACACGGACCAAGGAGUCGAACAUUUGUGCGAGUGUUUGGGUGUUAAACCCUCACGCGUAAUGAAAGUGAACGGAGGUGAGAGCCUUAGGGUGCAUCAUCGACCGAUCCUGAUGUCUUCGGAUGGAUUUGAGUAAGAGCAUAACUGUUCGGACCCGAAAGAUGGUGAACUAUGCGUGGAUAGGGUGAAGCCAGAGGAAACUCUGGUGGAGGCUCGCAGCGGUUCUGACGUGCAAAUCGAUCGUCAAAUCUGCGCAUGGGGCGAAAGACUAAUCGAAC
rnacentral:rRNA from 1 species